rnacentral:rRNA from 1 species
AAAACCCGUUCGCCGAAAGACCAAGGGUUCCAGUCCAACGUUAAUCGGGGCUGGGUGAGUCGACCCCUAAGGCGAGGCCGAAAGGCGUAGUCGAUGGGAAAUUGGUUAAUAUUCCAAUACUUCUGUGUAAUGCGAUGAGAGGACGGAGAAGGUUAAGUCAGCCUGGCGUUGGUUGUCCAGGUGGAAGGAUGUAGGUAUGUAUCUUAGGCAAAUCCGGGGUACUCUAUACUGAGAUCCGAUAGCAAGCUGUACUUGUACAGUGAAGUGGCUGAUACCAUGCUUCCAGGAAAAGUCUCUAAGCUUCAGUUACACAGGAAUCGUACCCGAAACCGACACAGGUGGUCAGGUCGAGUAGACCAAGGCGCUUGAGAGAACUCUGCUGAAGGAACUAGGCAAAAUGGUACCGUAACUUCGGGAGAAGGUACGCUGUUGUUGGUGAUGGAACUUGCUUCCUGAGCUGACGACAGCCGCAGAAACCAGGCCGCUGCAACUGUUUAUUAAAAACAUAGCACUCUGCAAACACGAAAGUGGACGUAUAGGGUGUGAUGCCUGCCCGGUGCUGGAAGGUUAAUUGAUGGGGUUAGCGUAAGCGAAGCUCUUGAUCGAAGCCCCAGUAAACGGCGGCCGUAACUAUAACGGUCCUAAGGUAGCGAAAUUCCUUGUCGGGUAAGUUCCGACCUGCACGAAUGGCAUAAUGAUGGCGGCGCUGUCUCCAGCAGAGGCUCAGUGAAAUCGAAAUCGCUGUGAAGAUGCAGUGUACCCGCGGCUAGACGGAAAGACCCCGUGAACCUUUACUGCAGCUUGACACUGAACUUUGACCUUACUUGUGUAGGAUAGGUGGGAGGCUUUGAAGUUGGAACGCUAGUUCCAAUGGAGCCGUCCUUGAAAUACCACCCUGGUAAUGUUGAGGUUCUAACUCUGUCCCGUUAUCCGGGACGAGGACCGUGUCUGGUGGGUAGUUUGACUGGGGCGGUCUCCUCCUAAAGAGUAACGGAGGAGUACGAAGGUGCGCUCAGCGUGGUCGGAAAUCACGCGUAGAGUAUAAAGGCAAAAGCGCGCUUAACUGCGAGACCCACAAGUCGAGCAGGUACGAAAGUAGGUCUUAGUGAUCCGGUGGUUCUGUAUGGAAGGGCCAUCGCUCAACGGAUAAAAGGUACUCUGGGGAUAACAGGCUGAUACCGCCCAAGAGUUCAUAUCGACGGCGGUGUUUGGCACCUCGAUGUCGGCUCAUCUCAUCCUGGGGCUGAAGCAGGUCCCAAGGGUAUGGCUGUUCGCCAUUUAAAGAGGUACGCGAGCUGGGUUUAGAACGUCGUGAGACAGUUCGGUCCCUAUCUACCGUGGGCGCUGGAAAUUUGAGAGGAUCUGCUCCUAGUACGAGAGGACCAGAGUGGACGAACCUCUGGUGUACCGGUUGUGACGCCAGUCGCAUCGCCGGGUAGCUAUGUUCGGAAGGGAUAACCGCUGAAAGCAUCUAAGCGGGAAGCCUACCUCAAGAUAAGAUUUCCCUAGGAAUUUAUUCCUCUAAAGAGCCGUUCGAGACUAGGACGUUGAUAGGUUGGAUGUGGAAGCAUAGUGAUAUGUGAAGCUGACCAAUACUAAUUGCUCGUGAGGCUUGACUAU